UCUCCGUUGGUGAACCAGCGGAGGGAUCAUUACAGGACUCGCAAGACUCCUUCACCCUGUGAACCUCACUACAAGCACGUUGCUUCGGCGGGUGUCCCGGCGGGGGUUUUCCCUCGCCGGGGCGCACAGCCCGCCGGCAGCCCACUAUACUCUGUCUCUUUGCGUUGGCAUCUCGAGAAAAAACAAACAAGUUAAAACUUUCAACAACGGAUCUCUUGGUUCUG
rnacentral:misc_RNA from 1 species